AAGCUUGAUGAUGAAGAGAUCGCGUCCUACAUCCUCGCCGGCCUUGAUGUGGAUUUUAGUCCUGUCAUCUCUAUCGUGGCGAGGCGCACUGAACCCGUCACCCUUGAUGAGCUGUACACACAACUUGUCAGCUGGGAGC
rnacentral:snoRNA from 1 species